UGGGGAAUAUUGCACAAUGGAGGGAACUCUGAUGCAGCGACGCCGCGUGAGUGAUGAAGGACUUCGUUUCGUAAAACUCUGUUCUAUGGGAAGAAAAGGACUGUACCAUAGGAAAAAGCUCCGGCUAACUACGUGCCAGCAGCCGCGGUAAUACGUAUGGAGCGAGCGUUGUCCGGAAUCAUUGGGCGUAAAGGGUGCGCAGGCGGCUUUACAAGUUGGAUGUGAAAUAUUGUGGCUCAACCACAAACGUGCAUCCAAAACUGCAAAGCUUGAGUUAAGGAGAGGUAAGUGGAAUUCCUGGUGUAGCGGUGGAAUGCGUAGAUAUCAGGAGGAAUACCGGUGGCGAAGGCGACUUACUGGACUUAAACUGACGCUCAGGCACGAAAGCGUGGGGAGCAAACAGG
rnacentral:rRNA from 1 species